rnacentral:rRNA from 1 species
GAUGAACGCUGGCGGCGUGCUUAACACAUGCAAGUCGAACGGAAAGGCUCCUGCUUGCAGGGGUACUCGAGUGGCGAACGGGUGAGUAACACGUGGGUGAUCUGCCCUGCACUUCGGGAUAAGCCUGGGAAACUGGGUCUAAUACCGGAUAGGACCACAUUUUGGAUGGUGUGGUGGAAAGUUUUUCGGUGUGGGAUGAGCUCGCGGCCUAUCAGCUUGUUGGUGGGGUAAUGGCCUUCCAAGGCGUCGACGGGUAGCCGGCCUGAGAGGGUGUACGGCCACAUUGGGACUGAGAUACGGCCCAGACUCCUACGGGAGGCAGCAGUGGGGAAUAUUGCACAAUGGGCGCAAGCCUGAUGCAGCGACGCCGCGUGGGGGAUGACGGCCUUCGGGUUGUAAACUCCUUUCGCUAGGGACGAAGCGCAAGUGACGGUACCUGGAGAAGAAGCACCGGCUAACUACGUG